UACGAAGGGGGCUAGCGUUGCUCGGAAUCACUGGGCGUAAAGGGCGCGUAGGCGGCCGUUUAAGUCGGGGGGUGAAAGCCUGUGGCUCAACCACAGAAUUGCCUUCGAUACUGGACGGCUUGAGUAUGGUAGAGGUUGGUGGAACUGCGAGUGUAGAGGUGAAAUUCGUAGAUAUUCGCAAGAACACCGGUGGCGAAGGCG
rnacentral:rRNA from 1 species